rnacentral:lncRNA from 1 species
UAGUAAAGUAAUUAAUUAAUUUAUUAUUUAUCAUUAAUUAACUAAUUAAAAAUUAAUAUUUUAAUUAAUAUAUUUAAUAACCAAUAUUUAUGUUGAUGAACCAUUAAUAUUUUGAUUAAUCUAUUUAAUUUUUAACUAAUUAUCUAACUAAAUAAUUUACUAACUAAUUAAAAAGUUAUGUUAUUUCUAUAAUUAACUAAUUAAUUAAUUAAUGUAUUAAUUAACUAAUUAAUUAACUAAUAUUUAUAUUUAUUAAAUUAUUAAAUUAAUAAUUUAUUAUAAUAUUUAUAUCUAAUAAAUAUAUUACUUUAUUGAAUUAUUUUUAAUUAAUAUUUUGAUGUUAAUUAAUUAGAUAAACUAUUUUUAAUUAUAACCCAUAUUUUUCUUGUUCCAAUCUAACAUCCAAAUACCAUUUACCUUAUUUUCAGGAACAAUUCAAUUUUCAUCUAAAUACAUAAUUGGUCUAGUUCCUAUUUAUACCUCAAUUUGUACUUAUCAUUGGAAUAAGCAAUUCUUAUUUGUAUCCCAACCAAACGCAGUCUAAAAGAUUACUGGCUACUUCUAGGAAAACAUUAAAUGCUGAGAAUAGAAAAAAUAUAAAAGCGGUGGUCUUGUGUGUGGAA